GUGAGUCGGAUAGCUGACUUCGGAAUUUAGCUUUUAGAUAAGCAAACAAUGUUAAUGAUUGUUUAAUUCUGAGGAAGGUCCGGGCACCAUUUGUUGCAAAACAAAUAGUUGCGAGCUAUGAAAAUAGUCUGCUGUGAAGCAGAGCACUGUUACAGAAACGACACAGCCUUCAAAUCGCGAGGAUCCAUGCGGGGAGCUUGUUUUGAAGGAUUUGCUGAAACGGGCAACUUCGCCGGUGCAAGUGCCAAAGCCGCACGCUUAGAAAGAUGUCAGCACAUUUCGUUUGUCUUCGAGAGAAGAAACAAGAAAUAACAGAACCUGGCCUAUUUCCGACUCAC
rnacentral:RNase_P_RNA from 1 species